rnacentral:rRNA from 1 species
CGAGUGCCGUCCGCUGAGGAUGGCUUUUCCUUGGUGUAACUAGCCGNNGGAAUAAGGAGAGGGCAAGACUGGUGUCAGCCGCCGCGGUAAUACCAGCUCUCCGAGUGGUGGGGAUGAUUAUUGGGCUUAAAGCGUCCGUAGCCGGCUUAACAAGUCUCCNGUUAAAUCCAACGACCUAAUCGUUGGGCCGCGGGAGAUACUGUUGGGCUAGGAGGCGGGAGAGGCCGACGGUNNUNNCGGGGUAGGGGUGAAAUCCUGUAAUCCCGGGAGGACCACCAGUGGCGAAGGCUGUCGACUAGAACGCGCUCGACGGUGAGGGACGAAAGCUGGGGGAGCGAACCGGAUUAGAUACCCGGGUAGUCCCAGCUGUAAACGAUGCGGGCUAGGUGUUGGGGUGGCUACGAGCCACUUCAGUGCCGCAGGGAAGCCAUUAAGCCCGCCGCCUGGGGAGUACGGCCGCAAGGCUGAAACUUAAAGGAAUU